rnacentral:lncRNA from 12 species
CGUGGUUUGUCACAGCUGGAAAGGAGGUGGUAGACUUGGGUGGUAUAGAGAAAGCGAUGCACCACACAGAGCUCUGCAAUUAAGCUGUUUUCUUUCUGUUAAUUAAAAGCAAAUUAGUCACUGCAACAAGAGGAGCUGUCUUCUCCUAAUUGCCACCCAGCAUUGCCAACCAUGAACCUGUUGUUGAAAUGUUCUGUCUUUUCUUACACGUUCAUUUUCUGUCUUGCAGGGUCGACGGGGGAAGACAGGAGAACCAGGGACUCCAGGACCACCGGGUCCACCUGGAACAUGCGAUGCUGAAGCUGUUAAGGGUAUGAAGGGUGACCCGGGUGACGCAGGAAUGGAUGGACAGAAGGGCAAUAAAGGGGAUACUGUAUGUAACAUCUCAGAGCUCUGAUUAAAAAAAUCCCAUCACAGAUUUUGUUUGCUUAUUUACCUCAUUCGUCUCUUCUAACACCUCACUCCACAGGGUUUGCCUGGCCUGGAGGGAGCCAGUGGAAUGAAGGGGCAAAAGGUUCGUAAUGCAUGUUUUAUUUGUUAGUUUGUGUGCUGGGAGGAGGUAAGUCUGUUCACUUGUUUACCAGUUCUGUCUAAUAAAUCUUGUCUUGUGUAGAAAACCUUCUGACUAUAACUGAGGUUCAGACUCAGUCAACUCUGUGGUUCACUUGAUUCACUUUUCUUUGUGUUUGUUUUUCUUUAUCAUUAUUCCUUUAGGGUGAGGAAGGACCCAGAGGACUGCCGGGCCCCGUGAGUACUAGAGGUUCUCAGUCAGAGGUUCUGACGCAUACAGAUAUACUGUGUCACAUACAGUAGUAACACACAUGAGACUCUACAUAUUAUAGAGCGUCCAUUUAAACUUGCAUGUCUUUGAUAAACACAUUGAUAUUCAUACCAUGAAUGGCUCCACUGAGAUGAUUCAAGUCCAAUAAAUGAUUCAGAGCUACUGCUGUGGGAUUCAUUUGAACUAUUGCAGGUAGCAAACAUUAUAUAUACUACUGUUUAAAAGUUUGGAGUCAGUAAUUUUUUUUUUUUUAAGAAGUGUUUUAUGCUCAUCAAGGCUGCAUUUAUUUGCUCAAAA